AGUGAUGAUCAGAACUGAGAUGAGAAUGGAGUGCUUGCCAUCAUCACUGUCAUGGGUGUCGCUGGCUCACCGUGGCAGGCAGUUAGUUCCCACGGACUAUCCAUGUGCUCCUCAACUUCUCAGGCCUCUUGUCACAGGCAAUGCCAAGUGAAAACAAAGCAAGAAGGCAGCACCUUCAACCCAGUGAGAGCGGCUUCUCCAGGUACCAACUCUGCUGGUACCUUCAUCUCGAACUCUCAGACUGCAGAGCUAUGAGAGGCAGCACCUACAACCCAGGGAGAGCGGCUUCUCCAGGUACCAACUCUGCUUGUACCUUCAUCUCGAACUCUCAGACUGCAGAGCUAUGAGAGGCAGCACCUACAACCCAGGGAGAGCGGCUUCUCCAGGUACCAACUCUGCUGGUACCUUCAUCUCGAACUCUCAGACUCCAGAGCUACGAGAAAUACGUUCCUGUUGGUUAAGCCACAAUCCACAGUGCUUUCUUACAGCAGCCCAGGCUGAUGAAAACACAGACCAAUACCAGUUCACAGAUGCAAAACAUGAUUCUAACCAAACAUGUGGCUAUUCGACUUCCAGUAUCUGAUCUUUUAAGCCAAGUCGACUACAGAUCCAUCCAUAUUAUGAACUAUGAUACAGCAUGAGGAAGAUUCUUAUAACUUGACAUUAAAAACUCUACAACCGAUAUUAUUAAUAAAAAGCAAGAGAUGCAGAAAAGUAUACAUAAGAUGAUACUAAAUAACUCAGGUGUGUAUACAUCACACAUCUCUCCCUCACCACACACACCAUGGACGUAUAUCUGAAAAAUGUAUCAGAGGAUGUACACCAAACCGACAAAAGGUUUACCUCUGAGGAAACUAAAACCUGACUGGGACCCAAAGGAUGAAGAGAAGACAUGGGGAACUUUCUUUUCCUGGAUUAAGACGUUUACAUUGAUAAUGUAUCCAAUUUGUAAAAUUAAACAUAUGUUUAA